CGACAUUAAUUGAACAGACCAUGCACUGCUACGUGGCUCAAAACCUGCUCAUGAAGUAAUGCUAGAACCCCCAUUCAAUAAACGAUUUCCUUUUUUUGUUUCACCCUCUGUUUUAUUCCGCUCCAGAGCACGUCUUCUUCCCGUUUCCGUCAUUACUCCAAACCAUCCGUAUAAUAGUAAUUCCUGAUCUCUCUCUCUACCUUUUCUUUGUGCUAAAGAGAUCAUUUAUAAAUUUGAGUCCCUCUUCUGAAAUUCUGUCGACGAGGCUUUGAACGAUCGAGGUUUGCAGAAUCCGUUGCUACGAGGGUCGCAUAAAUAGCUGUUGAAUAAGUAUUUGUUUGUCUUUAAUCGCUUGGACCUCCACCUCAUACACUGGGAACAGGUCUGGUGACCAGCGCAACACAGGCUGAAGGAAUUGGUGUUUGAUCCAAUUGACUCUUUGCGGCGUGAA